UGCCAUGUCUUUGGGGGUUUUGAAAAGGUUCAUUUUGAUUGCCCACAAAGACUGGAUCAGCAUUUUGUCAUAUCAGGUCUAGACAGUGGCCUGGAGAGAACCUCACCUGUGUGUGUGUGUGUGUGUGUGUGUGUUCACCUGCUCCGGGUUGCCUUCCAUAUCCCAACCACAGGCAUGAUGAGGCUUCACAAUUAACUCAGGGGAUUAACGCAGAAGAAAACAUUUCUGUUGGUUAAGGACUUGUUCUCUGCUUGAUUUAUUUGGAUAUUUAUGCACUAAAGUGCAUAUUCUGGAGUGGGAGAUAUUGUGGGCAAGCGAUUUUCAUUAUGCUCACCACAAAGUUUGGAACCUCAAUGAAAACUGUUUUAAAUCAAUGUUAUUUAUGCUCUUCAACAUCCUAUUCUGCAUACGUUUUAAAUCCUCACCACAUCAAAGCAUUUACUCUUACCAUUAGAUAGUGUAUAUUUAUUAACAAUAAUGAAUCAUUAAUCCUUAAAUUGUUUCAGUGUGGCACAACAGUACACUCAUUCUUUUAUCUGUGGCCUACCAAAUAGGUUUCAAGAGAAAUGAGGAAGACCUUUUUUGAUUGGUUGACUAGAGACAGACUGAUCCUUUAUAUACAUAAUCUAGAGUUUUCUCUGCGACAAUCCUGUCACUGACACGUUUUUGUUCGGCUCGGAAUAUACUUUUGCUCACCCUGAUGAAGGCUUUCAUUGGAAUGAUGAGUCUCAUAUGUUUGAGUCUCUCUGCUCCACUUGAUCUAAGAGCUCCAGGCGGAGUGGAACAGAUCCAGGCUCAACCUAUGACAUUUCCUGGACAACCUUUGGCGCAACAAUCUCGAAGAAAUAUCACCUCCCACACAUACACCUACCCAAUCUUUCCGAGACUGGAUAAUUUCUACUAUACGUAUCCAUCUGGCUCAAUGACCCCGGUCUUCAACCUCUACCGGUUCUUCUCACCACAGGUCUACUUACCACUAGGCUACACACCACCCAUUUACACCCAGUACCCGUCUCUGAACAGAGACAUGACCCCUUACACUGUUUAUCUGAGACAGGGAAUGUGAUCAGUUUGUCGUUUUGUAGUAGUACUAUGAGAGAUCACAUUUUUUAUUAUUUUUAUUAUUUGUGUCGUUAGCUGUUUGCAAGAUUAGGUUAAAUGAUGAUAUUGCAAGGGACAUGCAUUUUGUUUUUGGUGUAAAUUGUUUACUUAAUCAAACAUUAAAGAAACUUCUUGAAAACAUUUGACAAAAAAAUAGGUUAUUUUCUAAUUGCUAGAUAAUUAUUCACUGUGGUCACCUCAAAGCAGUGAGUAUACUGUGUUGUGUAUUUUGAGUAACGCAAACUUGAGUACUUGAGUGACACAAACAAUCUCAAGCUGGGUGGCAGUAGGAAGUUAGGGAAGUUGGGGGAGUAAUGUGGCAUUUUUACUAAACAUUGGUAAACAUGUAUCUGUAUCCGUAAUGUCAUGCUUCAGAAAGAUUUAUUAUCAAAGGGAGAAGAUAAUAAAUUAUCAUUUUACCUUCAGAUUAAAUCAGCUGAGUCACUAAAUCGGAUUAAAUUCCUGAUUCUUCACACUCUAAAAGAUGGACACCAAGUUGUGAUUUGGGGACCUCUCUCAAAAAAAAGCACUUGCACUUUGGAUUGCUGGAAUACAUCACUCCUAAGACUCAAGACUGGUUGAUGUCUUAAAAGCUUCUACUUGGCUUCUCCACUUUACUCAGUGAGCAAGAUAGAAGCAGAAAGAUCUUUUCAGGUAUACAGAAUAGAUGUUUAUCCAAACAUGCUCAGAACCAACAGCCUGAGUGUUCAGACUCCAUGACCCUCUCCACCACCACCCUCUCAAAUUUCAGAUUAGCCAAUCAGAAAACAGUCUGAAACACAUACAUAGACCACAUAAUGUUGAUAUUUGAACCAAACCCUGAUCUCCAGCCUCAAUGCCAAGCAAAAAAUACAUGUAGCAUGUCAAAACAUGUGGUCUCCGACCGACUGGGCUUGUGUUAGAGAGAUUGUUCUGACCACCAUCCUAAAUAUACCAGGCCUGCAGCUGUGCUGACAGCACUGAGGAAGGCUAAGUGAGGUUCUAACCAGCGGCACCCGGAAUGACUCGCCCUCGAGGAACAGGACAGCUGAGGACAGAGAAAGUCUAUACUGAGGCACUCAAACAAGUUAGUCCUUCUCCAGAGGUCUGGUGUAAUUAAUACAUUGAUUGAGCCGCAGAAAUACAGUGUAACUGUUUUAUUAUUCAGCUGCUGUGACCAC